UUCAAUGCUCAACAAAAUGUAUAAGAAACACCAUGAAGUGCUAGAGCUCUCGAAGAAUAACUGCUGACCUUAUUCACUGGCUGUAGACUUUCUGGCACAGUCAGUCACCAGGUUAGUGACAUAU